GUCGCAUUAGUAUAGUGGUUAGUACUCCACGUUGUGGUCCGAUCCGCGCAAGCGAAUCAAGCUCCGUGGUAACGCAGGCUCGAAUCCUGCAUGCGACA